AACUGUCAUUGUCUCAGUUUUGUACAGGGUAGCAUACCCCCUGGAGAAUCUUCCAGGUUUAUAUUCCAGUACCACAUGCAAAAUAUACCAUGCUUCAGCUAAAUUAGAAUGAUUUUAGUGUUCCUAAGUGCUUGCAUUGUGAAAAAAGUUGCUACCCAAGACCACUUAAUUUUGUACAUCAAUAUUAAUACAUCUAUAUUGGCUUAUGCAUGCAU
rnacentral:misc_RNA from 1 species